rnacentral:tmRNA from 1 species
CUUUGGUUUUGACAUAAAGUAAAUAUAAUAAGAAAGCAUAUCGUGAAAUGUAAUGUAAUCACGUAAAAAAUUCAUUACAAAGAAAUAAGAGGCGAAACCAAGAAUUACUCUCUUGCAGCUUAAGUACUUAAGCUAAGACAGUUAAGAAGUAAGUUAUGCAAUUAUUUGUUUCUUUUUAUUCUUCUACUUUUAGGGCUUAUAACUAAAAUUAGAUUAUAACUUUUAUAAGCUAAAUAUGUAGACGUCUUAUUAUAUUACUUUUUGGACACGGGUUCGAAUCCCGUCAGCUCCAUUAAAGAGAAAUUCCUUAUAA